rnacentral:rRNA from 1 species
AUACGUAGGUGGCGAGCGUUGUCCGGAAUUACUGGGCGUAAAGGAUGCGUAGGUGGAUAUUUAAGUGGGAUGUGAAAUCCCCGGGCUCAACCCGGGAACUGCAUUCCAAACUGGGUAUCUAGAGUGCAGGAGAGGAACGCGGAAUUCCUAGUGUAGCGGUGAAAUGCGUAGAUAUUAGGAGGAACACCAGUGGCGAAGGCGGCUUUCUGGACUGUAACUGACACUGAGGCAUGAAAGCGUGGGUAGCAAACAGGAUUAGAUACCCUGGUAGUCCACGCCGUAAACGAUGGGUACUAGGUGUAGGAGGUAUCGACCCCUUCUGUGCCGUCGUUAACACAAUAAGUACCCCGCCUGGGGAGUACGGUCGCAAGACUAAAACUCAAAUGAAUUGACGGGG